rnacentral:rRNA from 1 species
GAUGAACGCUAGCGGCAGGCUUAACACAUGCAAGUCGAGGGGUAGGUUACUUCGGUAAUUGAGACCGGCGCACGGGUGCGUAACGCGUAUACAAUCUACCUUUUACAGAGGGAUAGCCCAGAGAAAUUUGGAUUAAUACCUCAUAGUAUUUUUGAAUCGCAUGAUUUGAUUAUUAAAGUUCCAACGGUAAAAGAUGAGUAUGCGUCCCAUUAGCUAGAUGGUAAGGUAACGGCUUACCAUGGCUACGAUGGGUAGGGGUCCUGAGAGGGAGAUCCCCCCACACUGGUACUGAGACACGGACCAGACUCCUACGGGAGGCAGCAGUGAGGAAUAUUGGACAAUGGGCGCAAGCCUGAUCCAGCCAUGCCGCGUGCAGGAAGAAGGUCCUAUGGAUUGUAAACUGCUUUUANACAGGAAGAAACACUCCCUCGUGAGGGAACUUGACGGUACUGUAUGAAUAAGGACCGGCUAACUCCGUGCCAGCAGCCGCGGU